UACGUAGGGGGCUAGCGUUGUCCGGAUUUAUUGGGCGUAAAGAGCGUGUAGGCGGCCAGGUAGGUCCGCUGUGAAAGUCCGAGGCUCAACCUCGGAAUGUCGGCGGAAACCCUCUGGCUAGAGUCCGGAAGAGGAGAGUGGAAUUCCCGGUGUAGCGGUGAAAUGCGCAGAUAUCAGGAGGAACACCUGUGGCGAAAGCACUCUGCUGGGCCGACACUGACACUGAGAGACGAAAGCUAGGGGAGCGAAUGGG
rnacentral:rRNA from 1 species